rnacentral:rRNA from 1 species
GCGAAGGACCUACAAACAAUACCGAAACUGAUAUUUCCCUCGCAUCAGACACGAUGGAGCUCUCGCGGGCGAGGCUGCAUACGAGCUGAGUCGACUACACAGCGGAUUAAUGGCCGGACGUGGCGGUUUCCAUGAAGUUGUUAACGUCGUUGACGAGCUUCCCGGCGUCGGGGAGCUUCAGGAACAUGUAGAAGCCAUGGAUAGCGUCCGCUAACUCCAGCACCUGCACCGCCU